rnacentral:rRNA from 1 species
UCAGUCGACUCCUACGGGGAGGCAGCAGUGGGGAAUAUUGCACAAUGGGGGAAACCCUGAUGCAGCCAUGCCGCGUGUGUGAAGAAGGCCUUCGGGUUGUAAAGCACUUUCAGUAGGGAGGAAGGUAGUGUAGUUAACACCUGCAUUAUUUGACGUUACCUACAGAAGAAGCACCGGCUAACUCCGUGCCAGCAGCCGCGGUAAUACGGAGGGUGCGAGCGUUAAUCGGAAUUACUGGGCGUAAAGCGCAUGCAGGCGGCCUGUUAAGUCAGAUGUGAAAGCCCGGGGCUUAACCUCGGAAUUGCAUUUGAAACUGGCAGGCUAGAGUCUUGUAGAGGGGGGUAGGAAUUUCAGGUGUAGCGGUGAAAUAGCGUAGAGAUCUGAAGGAAUACCAGUGGCGAAGGCGGCCCCCUGGACAAAGACUGACGCUCAGAUGCGAAAGCGUGGGGAGCAAACAGGAUUAGAUACCCCUGGUAG